GCUUAGCCCUUAACAUAGACAGUAAGCACACAAUACUGUCCGCCAGAGAACUACAAGUGAAAAACUAGAAACUCUAAGGACUUGGCGGUGCUCCAUACCGACCUAGAGGAGCCUGUCCUAUAAUCGAUAACCCACGUUUUACCUCACCACUUCUUGCAACUCAGCCUAUAUACCGCCGUCGCCAGCCUACCUUAUGAAAGAGACAAAGUAGGCACAACAGUUAACAACUAAAACGUCAGGUCAAGGUGUAGCAUAUGAAGCGGAAGAGAUGGGCUACAAUCUCUACAACAGAGUACACGAAUGGCACAAUGAAACCUAUGCCUGAAGGCGGAUUUAGCAGUAAGCUCAACAAGAAACUUCACCUGAACCCCGCUCUGGAG
rnacentral:rRNA from 1 species